AUUCAACUUAUCUGCAUUGAAAGCACUAUUUUAACAUUCAGUUCACAUUGCAAAAUGGAGACUACAACAUACGUACUGAUUAUAAGUCUAAGCUAUUGUUUGUAAACCUCAAAACUUGGUCCCUUUCAUUAUGUUACAUAUAUAUAAUAGCAAGAUUUUUUUAUGGGUGAGUAAUUAGUACCUUGAAAUAUCGGUUGAUCUUGCCAGUAUCUUCUGCUUGCAGGUGACAAUGCUAUUUAUAGGGUCCAAUUUAUUUGGUCGCAUUGUUAGCCUGCCAAGCGCACUCCUUCAUCUCACUACAGGAUGCCGUGCUGAUGAACAACAUUCCUGUAGUCAGUCAGUAACUGUACAGGUCGCUGAGCACCAAUAUUAAUCUCUGCCCACAACCCUUGUAGCUCGGAGCUGAGGAGAGAAGGUUUGGUUGAGGACACAAGCAAAUAUGACAAUUAGCAAUCCCGGCGUUCCAGAAAUAGUUAAAACCCUUCAGGAGUGAUAAAGUGAAAACAGAUGUCUCCAAACCCCCCUUCUACUGCACCCCAAUCAGCUGCUACUCGUCCCCCUCCCACCGAAGAAGCAAAUAUGGCGAUUGAAAGCCUGGAAUGUGUGUGCCUCGUGGCAAGCAGAGAUGUCACAAGAGAAGACCAUAUAUGUAUUAGCGAAUCAGAUGUACCCAUAUGAAUGAUGAUUGCUAUGUCACUCUAUCUAUAAAGCUGUGAGACCAAUAAAGGUUCGGCCUCUUUGUGGUUCGGAAGACAUGGAGGUCUGUGGUCUGAAAUUUUGUCUAUAGACUACAGGCUUACUUUUGUCAUGAAAUUUGGCUCA